UAAAAUGGAUAAUAUUGAAAAAGUUAUCAAUCUUUUACACAAAAGAAGAACUAUUCGUGAAGAACAAUUCGCAAUUGAAGAAAAGAAACAAAUUACUGAAUACAGUAAUUUGAUAAAUACAUUACAAACUAUAAAAGAUGAACGGAACAAUUAUAAAGAAAGUAUUGUUAAAAAUCUUCAAAGUUUAACAAUGCAUAAACAUUCAAUAUAUAAAUUAAUUUAUAAUGCAGAGAAUAUAUCAGGAUUACCAGUUUCUCAUAAUUAUCAUCGGCAAGCAAUAAUGUUUUUAUCUGAAGGAAUUGAUUUUAUAAAUAAAUUACAAGAUAUAUUUAAAAAUUUUGACAAUAUUGAUAAAAAAAAUAAUAUUAAUUCUAUGAAUAUGCUUCAUGAUAUUAUAUUUUGUACAAAAAGCAUAGGAAAUGAACUUUGUAAAGUAAAAUCCUUAAUUUCAGAUAUAAAAACAUUACAAAAAAAUACAGAAAUAUUGCAAGAAUAUUGUUUAGUUAAUGAUGAUGAAAAUAUUAAAAUCUAAACAUUAUCCUAUUUUGAAUAAGAAAAUAUUUUAUUAUUAUUUAUUGAUAAGAAAAUGGUAUAUCAUUUUGAAAAUUAUGUGAAACAUUUAGAUCUCUUUCUGGUUUUUCAAUUUCAUAAACUAAAGAACCUUCUUUAAUUCUAUCCCUUUAAAAUAGAUAUGUAUAAUAAUAAUAAAAAAUUUAAAAGAAGAAAUUAAAGUAUUGUAUAUUUUUGAAAAAACUAUUGUUAAUAUAUAUACAAAUAAGUAAUGAUUAUAUUAUAAUAUUUACUUCGUAACAUUGUAUUUUUCAGUUGCAAUUUUUUUUUCUUUUUCCAUUAGUGCUUGAAUUUGUAAUUGUAACUGAUUAAAUUUUUGUUUAUUUUGA